rnacentral:rRNA from 1 species
UACGAAGGGUGCAAGCGUUACUCGGAAUUACUGGGCGUAAAGCGUGCGCAGGCGGUUUGUUAAGUCUGCUGUGAAAUCCCCGAGCUCAACUUGGGAAUUGCAGUGGAUACUGGCAAGCUGGAGUACGGUAGAGGAAGGUGGAAUUCCCGGUGUAGCAGUGAAAUGCGUAGAGAUCGGGAGGAACACCAGUGGCGAAGGCGGCCUUCUGGACCAGUACUGACGCUCAUGCACGAAAGCGUGGGGAGCAAACAGG